GACGAACGCUGGCGGCGUGCCUAAUACAUGCAAGUCGAACGCAUUUUCUUUCACCGUAGCUUGCUACACCGGAAGAAAAUGAGUGGCGAACGGGUGAGUAACACGUGGGUAACCUGCCCAUCAGCGGGGGAUAACACUUGGAAACAGGUGCUAAUACCGCAUAAUUCCAUUUACCGCAUGGUAGAUGGAUGAAAGGCGCUUUUGCGUCACUGAUGGAUGGACCCGCGGUGCAUUAGCUAGUUGGUGGGGUAACGGCCUACCAAGGCUGCGAUGCAUAGCCGACCUGAGAGGGUGAUCGGCCACACUGGGACUGAGACACGGCCCAGACUCCUACGGGAGGCAGCAGUAGGGAAUCUUCGGCAAUGGACGCAAGUCUGACCGAGCAACGCCGCGUGAGUGAAGAAGGUUUUCGGAUCGUAAAACUCUGUUGUUAGAGAAGAACAAGGAUGAGAGUGGAAAGUUCAUCCCUUGACGGUAUCUAACCAGAAAGCCACGGCUAACUACGUG
rnacentral:rRNA from 1 species